rnacentral:rRNA from 1 species
CCUACGGGUGGCAGCAGUGAGGAAUAUUGGUCAAUGGGCGGAAGCCUGAACCAGCCAAGUCGCGUGAGGGAGUAAUGCCCUACGGGUUGUAAACCUCUUUUGCCGGGGAGCAGUGCCCAGCUCGUGAGCUCGGAGGGAACGUACCCAGAGAAAAGGCAGCGGCUAACUCCGUGCGAGCAGCCGCGUGAAUACGGAGGAUGCGAGCGUUACCCGCAUUUAUUGGUUUUAAGGGGUGCGUAGGCGGUCCUUCAGGCCGGCGGUAAAAUGGCGGGGCUCAACCGCGCCGAGCCGUCGGAACCGGGGGCCGUGAGUACAGGAGAGGUAGGCGGAAUGCGUGGUGUAGCGGUGAAAUGCAUAGAUAUCACGCAGAACCCCGAUUGCGAAGGCAGCGUACCGGCCGGUCACUGACGCUGAGGCACGAAAGCGCGGGUAUCGAACAGGAUUAGAUACCCCAGUAGUC